GAUGAACGCUGGCGGCGUGCCUAAUACAUGCAAGUCGAACGCUUCACUUCGGUGAAGAGUGGCGAACGGGUGAGUAAUACAUAAGUAACCUGGCAUCUACAGGGGGAUAACUGAUGGAAACGUCAGCUAAGACCGCAUAGGUGUAGAGAUCGCAUGAACUCUAUAUGAAAAGUGCUACGGGACUGGUAGAUGAUGGACUUAUGGCGCAUGAGCUGGUUGGUAGGGUAACGGCCGACCAAGGCGACGAUGCGUAGCCGACCUGAGAGGGUGACCGGCCACACUGGGACUGAGACACGGCCCAGACUCCUACGGGAGGCAGCAGUAGGGAAUUUUCGGCAAUGGGGGAAACCCUGACCGAGCAACGCCGCGUGAAGGAAGAAGUAAUUCGUUAUGUAAACUUCUGUCAUAGAGGAAGAACGGUGGAUAUAGGGAAUGGUAUCCAAGUGACGGUACUCUAUAAGAAAGCCACGGCUAACUACGUGCCAGCAGCCGCCGUAA
rnacentral:rRNA from 1 species